rnacentral:misc_RNA from 1 species
GAAAUGCGAUAAGUAAUGUGAAUUGCAGAAUUCCGUGAAUCAUCGAAUCUUAGAACGCACAUUGCGCCCUCUGGCAUUCCGGGGGGCAUGCCUGUCCGAGCGUCAUUACGCACCCUCAAGCCCGGCUUGUGUGAUGGGCCCUGGCGUCUCGUUCGCGAGACGGACCCGAAAGGCAGCGGCGGCGUCGACCCGAUGAGCCCGAGCGUAUGGGGACUUUUGUCACACGUUUGCGGUGCGGACCGGCGCCUGCUUGACUUUUCUGAUUAUCCAGGUUGACCUCGGAUCAGGUAGGGAUACCCGCUGAACUUAAGC